GGACUACAGGGGUAUCUAAUCCCGUUCGCUACCUACGCUUUCGUGUAUGAGCGUCAGAAACGCGCCAGUGAAUUGCCUUCGCAUUUGGUGUUCCCCAUGAUAUCAACGGAUUUCACCCCUACACCAUGAGUUCCAUUCACCUCUCGCGCCCUCGCAUCGAUGCCGUUUCCUUCGCAUUUCCUGGGUUGAGCCCUGGAGCUUUUACGAAAGACUAACAUCGCCGCCUGCACACCCUUUACGCCCAGUGAUUCCGGGUAACGCUUGAGGCCUCUGUAUUACCGCGGCUGCUGGCAC
rnacentral:rRNA from 1 species